GUCUAUGGCCAUACCACCCUGAAUGUGCCUGAUCUGGGAAGCUAAGCAGGCUUGGGCCUGCUUGGACGAGAGGAUUUUGACAGAAAUUGCACUGAAUCCGUAUAUUGCUCUAGGCU
rnacentral:rRNA from 1 species